rnacentral:piRNA from 1 species
UCCUAGAAUAGAAAUGCGCCUCCUUC